CUGGUCUUCUGGACAGACAACAGCAGGGCCUCUGUUUUCCCAUCUAGCAAAAGGGCUCCAUCAGUGGUUUUCAAACUGUGCUCCAAGGCACCCUGGGGCCAAGAAGAGUUUGCAACCACCCUGAAGAGAGGAUGUCCCCAAGGUCCUCCUGGGAUCCCACCCACCUCCCUGCCUCCCCUUCAGUCCUGGUCCACCCCUGAAAGGCAGGAUGUGGCUGCCAAAGGUAGGU
rnacentral:lncRNA from 1 species